rnacentral:rRNA from 1 species
CUACGGGCCGCACCAGUGAGGAAUUUUGCGCAAUGGGGGAAACCCUGACGCAGCAACGCCGCGUGAGCGAAGAAGGCCUUCGGGUCGUAAAGCUCUGUCAAGUGGGAAAAAAAUUCUUUGAUGAACAGUCAAAGGACUUGAUGGUACCACUGGAGGAAGCACCGGCUAACUCCGUGCCAGCAGCCGCGGUAAUACGGAGGGUGCAAGCGUGUUCGGAAUUACUGGGCGUAAAGAGCGUGUAGGCGGUUUGACAAGUCAGAUGUGAAAGCCCCGGGCUCAACCCGGGAAGUGCAUUUGAAACUGUGUCACUAGAGUAUGGGAGAGGAGAUUGGAAUUCCUGGUGUAGAGGUGACAUUCGUAGAUAUCAGGAGGAACACCCGUGGCGAAGGCGAUUCUCUGGACCAAUACUGACGCUGAGACGCGAAAGCGUGGGGAGCAAACAGGAUUAGAUACCCGAGUAGUC